AAUGAACGCUGGCGGCGCGCCUAAUACAUGCAAGUCGAGCGAGAAGACGUAGCAAUACGUUUGUAAAGCGGCGAACGGGUGAGGAAUACAUGGGUAACCUACCCUAGAGUGGGGAAUAACUAGCCGAAAGGUUAGCUAAUACCGCGUACGCUCCUUGGACUUCGGUUCAGGGAGGAAAGCGAUACCGAGGGUAUCGCGCUCUUGGAUGGGCUCAUGUCCUAUCAGCUUGUUGGGAGGUAACGGCUCACCAAGGCUUCGACGGGUAGCUGGUCUGAGAGGACGAUCAGCCACACUGGCACUGCGACACGGGCCAGACUCCUACGGGAGGCAGCAGUAAGGAUAUUGCGCAAUGGGCGAAAGCCUGACGCAGCGACGCCGCGUGGGGGAUGAAGGUCUUCGGAUUGUAAAACCCCUUUCGGGAGGGAAGAUGGAACGAGCAAUCGUUCGGACGGUACCUCCAGAAGCAGCCACGGCUAACUUCGUGCCAGCCGCCGCGGU
rnacentral:rRNA from 1 species